CCCUACGGGGCGCAGCAGUUAGGAAUAUUCGACAAUGGGGGAAACCCUGAACGAGCAAUGCCGCGUGAACGAUGAAGGCCCUAUGGGUUGUAAAGUUCUGUUGUUUGGAACGAAUAACUAGAAGAGGAAAUGCUUUUAGUCUGACGGUACCAUUCAAGAAAGCCACGGCUAACUACGUGCCAGCAGCCGCGGUAAUACGUAGGUGGCGAGCGUUAUCCGGAUUUAUUGUGCGUAAAGCGUGCGCAGGCGGUUUGUUAGGUCUAAAAUUAAAGUCCGAAGCUUAACUUCGGUUCGUUUUUGAAACC
rnacentral:rRNA from 1 species